rnacentral:lncRNA from 1 species
UCACUUUUAGGCAGGCUCCGCAGGCGGGCACCGGGCGGAGCUCGAGCCUGCGCCAGCGGUGGGCUCUGCCGGCGCCACGUGGACAAGGGAGGCCGCAGGAUCCGCGGACCCGGCGGGGCGGGGCGUGCCGGCGGGGCGGAGCCUCCGGGACCCGGAUGCGGCCCCGCCCCGUCCGCGGAACCGGAAGUGGAGCAGGGCGCCUGGGAGCUGCGGGCGCGGCAGAGGCUGGGCAGUGCCGAGCCGGACCGGACCGACCCCAGGCGGCGACAGAAGCUCUCCCAAUGCCUGGGAAUUCCUCGUUGGAUUACUGCGUUUUCAGCAGAGUUUUGUGAGCGUCUCGCAUCUGCACGUGGAGAAGAAAGGUGACGUGGCAGCACUCCAGUCUGGGAAUCUGAGAGCUGUGCCCCUUGAUCCCCCGCCACCACCUUGGACUUGUGACCUCGCAGAGCCGGGGUGCAGGUGGACCCGCCUCGGGGUUCUCAGGUCUGUGAAAGGCUCUUGUCCUGU